AACAGGAUUAGAUACCCUGGUAGUCCACGCCGUAAACGAUGUCGAUUUGGAGGCUGUGUCCUUGAGACGUGGCUUCCGGAGCUAACGCGUUAAAUCGACCGCCUGGGGAGUACGGCCGCAAGGUUAAAACUCAAAUGAAUUGACGGGGGCCCGCACAAGCGGUGGAGCAUGUGGUUUAAUUCGAUGCAACGCGAAGAACCUUACCUGGCCUUGACAUGUCUGGAAUCCUGCAGAGAUGCGGGAGUGCCUUCGGGAAUCAGAACACAGGUGCUGCAUGGCUGUCGUCAGCCCGUGUCGUGAGAUGUUGGGUUAAGUCCCGCAACGAGCGCAACCCCUGUCCUUUGUUGCCAGCACGUAAUGGUGGGAACUCAAGGGAGACUGCCGGUGAUAAACCGGAGGAAGGUGGGGAUGACGUCAAGCCAUCAUGCCCCUUACUGCCAUUGCUACACUCGUGAUACUAUGGCUCGCUCACAUUGUUACUCGCUAGCGAUACUCAUUGAAUUUCGAAUUUCUUGUUUUUUUCUUUUUACUUCUUCUUUCUAUUUUCUCACGCUAUCUCA
rnacentral:rRNA from 1 species